AGAGUUUGAUCCUGGCUCAGAACGAACGCUGACGGUGUGCCUCAUACAUGCAAGUCGAGCGGGCUCAGCAAUGGGUCAGCGGCGGACGGGUGAGUAACACGUGAACAAUCUGCCCUCAAAUUUGGGAUAACGGUUCCAACGAGCCGCUAAUACCGGAUAGGUUAGUCUGAUCUCCUGGUUGGAUUAAGAAAGUUGCAAUUGCAACGUUUGAGGAUGAGUUCGCGGCCCAUUAGCUAGUUGGCGGGGUAACGGCCCACCAAGGCGACGAUGGGUAGCCGGCCUGAGAGGGUGAUCGGCCACAUUGGGACUGAGAUACGGCCCAGACUCCUACGGGAGGCAGCAGUAGGGAAUUUUGCGCAAUGGACGAAAGUCUGACGCAGCAACACCGUGUGAGGGAUGAAGCAUUUCGGUGUGUAAACCUCUGUCGAUGAUGAAUAAAGCAUGUGGGAGUGGAAAGCCCAUGUGUUGAAGGUAAUCAUGAAGGAAGCACCCGGCUAACUCUGUGCCAGCCAGCCGCGG
rnacentral:rRNA from 1 species